UACGUAGGUGGCAAGCGUUGUCCGGAAUUAUUGGGCGUAAAGCGCGCGCAGGCGGUCCAUUAAGUCUGAUGUGAAAGCCAACGACACAACCGUGGAGGGUCAUUGGAAACUGGGAGACUUGAGUACCGAAGAGGAGAGUGGAAUUCCACGUGUAGCGGUGAAAUGCGUAGAUAUGUGGAGGAACACCAGUGGCGAAGGCGACUCUCUGGCCUAUAACUGACGCUGAGGCGCGAAAGCGUGGGGAGCAAACAGG
rnacentral:misc_RNA from 1 species